rnacentral:lncRNA from 1 species
CUCAUAGACAUCAGACCCUCCUGUUGGCCUGAUUUAGUUUCUAUCUCUUGAAGAUGGCAGAGAUUUGGCUUUAUUAGAUGCUGGGAAGAUUUCUCUGGUCAAUCUGUCAUCUGGAAAUGGAAAUCAACAUGGAGUUGGAGAUACAAGAAGUAACCAAUAGUUUUGAUAGUUGGGAUUUAAUCCUGAAGGCAAUUUGGGAACCACUGAAAAAUGUAAGUUCCCUUUAGCUCAACAUAUUAUGGAU